AUGGUCCAUGAAGGUGGAGCCGACUUGUCGCUGUCACUCAUGACAUUUGAAAUGUCAGACUUACAUUGGUACAUUACAGAUAGAAAGAAAAACACAGAUAGUAGUACUAGCUGGUACUGUGAAAGCCACUCCUAUCUUAUCAUACUUGCAGUGACCGAGACAUCACCACUGAGAUGUAGGAAGGAUCAAUGGAAGGAGACGGAUGGCAACAGCAAGGGAGGGUCAGGGCGUGCUUCGGAUUCACUUAUGCCCGCGAUUAGCAGAUGA
rnacentral:rRNA from 1 species